ensembl:snRNA LOC120101132 U4 spliceosomal RNA
AGCUUUGCACAGUGGCAGUAUCAUAGCCAAUGAGGUUUAUCCGAGGUGCGAUUAUUGCUAAAAGUUGACCUUCUCUCUCAACAAGAUCAGCUGUUAACAGGCAGAUUAAUUCAUUUUUACCUACUACUAGC